GAUGAACGCUGGCGGCGUGCCUAAUACAUGCAAGUCGAGCGAACAGACGAGGAGCUUGCUCCUCUGACGUUAGCGGCGGACGGGUGAGUAACACGUGGAUAACCUACCUAUAAGACUGGGAUAACUUCGGGAAACCGGAGCUAAUACCGGAUAAUAUAUUGAACCGCAUGGUUCAAUAGUGAAAGACGGUUUUGCUGUCACUUAUAGAUGGAUCCGCGCCGCAUUAGCUAGUUGGUAAGGUAACGGCUUACCAAGGCAACGAUGCGUAGCCGACCUGAGAGGGGGAUCGGCCACACUGGAACUGAGACCCGGUCCAGACCCCUACGGGAGGCAGCAGUAGGGAAUCUUCCGCAAUGGGCGAAAGCCUGACGGAGCAACGCCGCGUGAGUGAUGAAGGUCUUCGGAUCGUAAAACUCUGUUAUUAGGGAAGAACAAAUGUGUAAGUAACUAUGCACGUCUUGACGGUACCUAAUCAGAAAGCCACGGCUAACUACGG
rnacentral:rRNA from 1 species